AAUUUUGUCCCGCGCAGACUCCCUCAGCACUUUUUGGACUCUAAAGCCGGAGAACGUGUAUAACAGCCUCCUUGACUUGGUAAAAGCCUCCGUCCUGUCCUCUGCCAUCUACAUAGUACAUGAAUCGGAGUUCCGGCGGAUAGGCGGCUCUGGACAGACCGGACAGCAGGGGUAUGGUGCAACCUUCCGACGCUGGGGCCUCUGUCAGGGCCUGCAGCAUCUGGUACUUGCACCAGGGGUCCCGAAGGAAGCCUGGAGUGAUGAGCAGCACGCGGCAGUGACUACGGCUCAGUGCCUGGCAUAGCUCCGAAACAAUGGCGCCACCCGGGGCUGCAUCCCGAAGCUGCAGGAAGCAGCGUAGACUGGCCUUGCUACCCUCCAAGUAGGAGACCAGCUCCUGGGCCGCUUCCAAGUCCUCCUCACUGUGGCACACGCAGACAUCGUAGUCUUUGCUCCAGCGGCCACUGCUGCUGCUGCUGCUGUCCACGUGUGUAGGUGGCGAGUCCCUAGUGGCUCAGUCGCUAACGGGUUCACGGGACCAGGGGAAUAACCCAGAGCUGUGCAGCGUGAGCAGACUUACAAGCCACCUCGGCUUGAACAACUCUGCUCCACCACGCCCUCCGCCCUCCGGCUCUGCUGAAUCAAGUCUUCAGAAACCAUAAGCUCUGUGUAGCUUUUCCUUCUUUACAUAAUCCCGGAAGGUACCUGUCUCACUAACACAGAGCGACGGAAGAGUGCUGGAGUCAAAGGAGACACUUGAAAGAGAAAAGCAGUCACAUCGCGGAGAGUGGACUGCGCCUGCCUGCAGGAGCUUCUUUUCUUCCUCGUGUCCUCUGGGCUUCUGACAACCUAAGGAAGAUGGUAGCUCUGCAGUACCUCUGACCUCUGGCAGGCUUUGAAAGACUUUUCCUGGUCAGGGGCUGCUAGCUCUCUACCCCUCAGGAAACCAUUCAAGAUAUCUUUUCCAGGGGAUGGAGAGAUGGCUCAGUGCUGAACAGAGCUUGUUCCUCCUUCAAGAGGACCAUAGUUCGGGUCCCAGCUCCCACAAUGGUCACAACUGCCUAUAACUCCACCAGUCCUCCAAGGCACACACCUCCCCCCACGGCAUACACUUACAGACAUAUGCA